AAACAUGGCUCCUUGUAUUUUAAAAAUAGGGAGUCGGACCUGCCCAGUGAAAUUUUUUAACGGCCGCGGUACUCUGACCGUGCAAAGGUAGCAUAAUCAUUUGCCUUAUAAUUGAAGGCUUGUAUGAAUGGUUUGACAAGAAUAAAGCUGUCUCUUUAUAAUUAAUUUGAAUUUUAUUUUUAGGUGAAGAAGCCUAUAUUUUAUUGAAAGACAAGAAGACCCUAUCGAGCUUUAAAAAAAUUAAUAAACUUAAAAAUUAGUAUUUGUAAUACAAAUUUUACUAUUAAAUCAUUUUAGUUGGGGCGACUGAGGAACAAACAAAGCUUCCUGUGUAAAUAUUAAUACAUUCAAGUACUGAUCCAAAAAUUUUGAUUAAAGAAAUUAGUUACCGUAGGGAUAACAGCAUUAUCUUUUUUGAGAGUUCUAAUCGAAAAAAAGGUUUGUGACCUCGAUGUUGGACCAGAAUAUCCUAAAGAUGCAGCCGUCUUUAAGGGUUGGUCUGUUC
rnacentral:rRNA from 1 species